GAUGAACGCUGGCGGCGUGCUUAACACAUGCAAGUCGAACGAGAAGUGAAGACGGAAACCUUCGGGCGGAAGGCUUUAUUUCGAGUGGCGGACGGGUGAGUAACGCGUGGGUAACCUGCCUCAUACAGGGGGAUAACAGUUGGAAACGACUGUUAAUACCGCAUAAGACCACAGCACCGCAUGGUGCGGGGGUAAAAACUCCGGUGGUAUGAGAUGGACCCGCGUUCGAUUAGCCAGUUGGCGGGGUAACGGGCCACCAAAGCGACGAUCGAUAGCCGAUCUGAGAGGAUGACCGGCCACAUUGGGACUGAGACACGGCCCAAACUCCUACGGGAGGCAGCAGUGGGGAAUAUUGCACAAUGGGGGAAACCCUGAUGCAGCGACGCCGCGUGAGUGAAGAAGUAUUUCGGUAUGUAAAGCUCUAUCAGCAGGGAAGAAAAUGACGGUACCUGAGUAAGAAGCCCCGGCUAACUACGUG
rnacentral:rRNA from 1 species